ensembl:lncRNA
AUGGAACAGAAGGUUCUGGAUCAGGAAGUACCAAAGGAGGAACCCAUCACCCUGCACCUCCUAGCCAAGUUUUACCCUGAAAGUGCGGAGGAGGAGCUCGUGCAAGACAUCACGAAGCAUCUCGUCUUCCUGCAGGUAGCUACACCCAUGUUUUGGAGUGUGGAGUCAGUGCACAACAUGUUACCUCCCUUCUCCUCCACCUACUGCUCUCAUGCCACACGGCUCUACCCGCGAGAAAUUAGAUUUGCCGCUUUGCGCCGAGCUCGGUGCUACCAGCCACAUUUAUCAAUUACCACUUAGGCUUUAAGGGCUCAGGCCCAGUUAAUGACAUAUUCUCCAUAGGGGGGCUCAUCGCCCACAGCAUUCAGAGCCCCAUCGUGCAGGUUUAGUUAUAUGGCUCGAGACGGCGGCAUGUUUGUGUUCCUCAUCGUUUGGAUGGAGGCACUUAUCUACUUAAGGCGUGUAAAAAGCCUCCAUGCCUCCUUAAUCCAUUUGGAGGUAGUUGAAGCGAUUGAUUUAUUUCUGAGGGGAACCUCACUAUAAAAAAAAGCGACAAACAAAGGCCACAGCCGACUAAUAAGUUUCGCUUGGACCGACGUCCAAGCGGCAGCCGGCUACGCGGGUAGGGGGAUGCCAACGCUGAGGGGCCUCGCCAGUCUCCUCAUGACUCUGCUCUCCUUAAUUCCCAUAAAAGUCUGGAGCAGGCCUCUGUUCAGACAGUGUCACAGGCAUGGCAGCUGGAUUAGCGCUUAUCGGUAGUGACCAUGGAGGAAAUGCAGUGAAAUGCAGGUCUCCGCCACCUCGGCCCGCCGGCUCGGCAGCGGCAGCGGCUCCUCUCGACCGGCCGGCAGCCGUCUCCUCCUCCUCAGCUCAAAACACCAGCGGACAGCGCGACUGGCUUUGCACCGCCUGGCUGCGUGCUCUCUGUGUGGGAUUCAAUUAGUCUGACGGGUGACGGCGCUGGGGAAGUGACACCCGACGAGACGCAGCCGUUAAGCCUGGCGGGAGGCGUCCUGGAAGGGGGGAUCGCCCUUCCGCCACGUCCUUAUACUCUGCAGACGCGCACGCAGGCAUUCUUUGAGCUGCUUAAUGAUCACACGGAAUGAUGUUGGCUGAGGUGCGUGGUUGCUGUCUUCGGUGUCCCCCGGUGUGUUAAGAGGUCCCCGUGUGGCUGUGAUGCUUAACUGUUGCAAUAUUUAUUUGGUUUCCAGACUUCACUGAAACGUGCAGCUCUGGACCUGCGGCGUAGCCACACGGCACCUGAUAGCUGUUGUGGUGUAAAAUGAGGGGAAUGAAGUCCCGUCGACGCAGGCAGAGAGGUUGUGUUCCUCCCGGCUCUUGACGCUCUUCUGGCGAGGGCGUCGAGUGCAUUUGACUUGUGUUUUAUGAAAUACGACAUCAUACCGUUUUAACAGAUUUAACAAGCAACUAAGUGGCCCAGAGAGUAUGAAGCCGCAUGAGUGAUUCAGAACAAUCCUCCCCCCCCAGGUGAAGAAGAAGAUCCUCGAGGGGGAUGUUCAUUCUCCCCCUGAGGCCUCAGUGCUGCUGGCCUCCUCCGCCGUCCAUGCCAAGGUGAGGGCCCCCCGUAUCCGUCCAGCCAUCCGUCUGUGUACUCUUUAAUGAGAUCUUUAUUUUAUAAUACACAGCAAUUCUCUUCCCAUCAAUUAUUUGAAUACCUUCAUUUGUUAAUUCCUCUGAAUAAUAGCGUGUAAGCAGCACAGUGCAGCUCUUUCUCUGUGGAUCAGCGCACAGACACUUGCAUGUUCUAUCAGC